CGUGCCUGCAGCCCGGCCGGUCCCCUCCGGGCCGCCUGUACCUGAGGGCAGAGCGCGGGCCCCGCGGCGCAGCUGGAAUUUGAUCUCUGCUCCCUGUAAUCUCCCGUAACUGAAAAUUCACUUUUUCCGCCUGCCGGCCGCUUUCUCUUUUGCCUCCUCAUUCUCCAGCCAGCUCCGCUCUGCGCUGGGUGGUUUGGCUGGGUCACCUCACGCCAGGCUGUGUCCUGCUGUGACAGGAGUAAAGGCUUUUCUGAAAAGGUUCUUAGCAGUAACAGAGGAAUGCAGAGCGGUAUAGGCUGCGCUCCGAAGCUCUCCAGAGGCAGCAAGCCCCAACAAGCCUGUCACCUCCUCUAUCUCAGCCUCCGCGGCUUUGAAAAAGAAGUUAGAUGUGGAAAAAAAAGGCAUAAGAUCAACGGGCUUUAGAGAGUCAUCCUGGAACUCGAGGUGCCCCGGGAUACAACAGUUUAUCUCGAAAAACUCCUGAUCCCUUGGACAUCACUGGCAGGUUGAGAGGAUCCCAAAUUUGCCUCAUUAUGGUUCUUAGUCAUCAAGCGUUUUGAAAGAGAGCCCACAUUUGCUUUAUUAUUUGUAUACUGAAGGCAAUUUAUAGAUUAGGGUUGAACACGUCAAAAUACCUGGACUACCUACAGAUACUAACUUUGCCUCCAGCCUUUUGUUUAUGAGAACAAUCUCUCUGUCUGCAGAGGCUUGAAGCCUUGUGUUAAUUUUUAUGAGAAUUAUCUGUCUAUUUGUAUAGGCUUGAGGUGUUACCUCUGCCUUGACAAAUCAAGGAAAUUUUUUUUUUUCAAUUCCUGCUUUUUCCCUUUCAUCUGAAUUUUUUUUUAGCCUUGGAAACGUGGAAAUAUUUAUUUUUUUUUUUUAAGUGGUUAUUUUUUAUUUUUUGGGUUGGGUAUUUUAAAAAUUAUUUUAACAUACUGCAGUAAUAACCUAUUCCAGUAAUACCCUGGCUCAGAAUUAGAAGCCAGGUCCUGAAAACAAGUCAAACAAACCCUCAGAAUUACCAUGGAUGAACAAAGAGGCAAAUGUGGGUGAAACAAUCUUAACAAUAAGAGGUUUUAAAUGCCUCGGUUAUUAAUAUUUCCAGCACUUUACAGCAAAAGCUGAGGUAGUUUCAAUAGAAAAUUAAAAGGAGAAGGAUCUGAGCUGGGCACUCACAGAGUUCUGAUUUAGCCCUGGUGAGAACAGAGCUGCUGCUCUCUGUGGGAGCUGCUGGAGAAUUCCCCAUUUAGUUUAAAUGUCUGAAAAUAGAGGAUCCCUUCCCAAAAUCAAGGUUUGGACGUGCAAACUUUUUCAAACUCCGCGCAACUGGAAGCAUUCCAGAAAUUGGCAGGUAUUGAUAACAUCCAGCUGUGACUGUGCAGCCCUGCUUUAAGCCCAGGCUUUUAAUAAAGGCAGAAAUACAAAGCA
rnacentral:lncRNA from 1 species